UGCAGUCGAGCGGAUGAGGGAGCUUGCUCCUGGAUUCAGCGGCGGACGGGUGAGUAAUGCCUAGGAAUCUGCCUGGUAGUGGGGGAUAACGUCCGGAAACGGGCGCUAAUACCGCAUACGUCCUGAGGGAGAAAGUGGGGGAUCUUCGGACCUCACGCUAUCAGAUGAGCCUAGGUCGGAUUAGCUAGUUGGUGGGGUAAAGGCCUACCAAGGCGACGAUCCGUAACUGGUCUGAGAGGAUGAUCAGUCACACUGGAACUGAGACACGGUCCAGACUCCUACGGGAGGCAGCAGUGGGGAAUAUUGGACAAUGGGCGAAAGCCUGAUCCAGCCAUGCCGCGUGUGUGAAGAAGGUCUUCGGAUUGUAAAGCACUUUAAGUUGGGAGGAAGGGCAGUAAGUUAAUACCUUGCUGUUUUGACGUUACCAACAGAAUAAGCACCGGCUAACUUCGUGCCAGCAGCCGCGGUAAUACGAAGGGUGCAAGCGUUAAUCGGAAUUACUGGGCGUAAAGCGCGCGUAGGUGGUUCAGCAAGUUGGAUGUGAAAUCCCCGGGCUCAACCUGGGAACUGCAUCCAAAACUACUGAGCUAGAGUACGGUAGAGGGUGGUGGAAUUUCCUGUGUAGCGGUGAAAUGCGUAGAUAUAGGAAGGAACACCAGUGGCGAAAGGCGACCACCUGGACUGAUACUGACACUGAGGUGCGAAAGCGUGGGGAGCAAACAGGAUUAGAUACCCUGNAGUCCACGCCGUAAACGAUGUCGACUAGCCGUUGGGAUCCUUGAGAUCUUAGUGCGCAGCUAACGCGAUAAGUCGACCGCCUGGGGAGUACGGCCGCAAGGUUAAAACUCAAAUGAAUUGACGGGGCCCGCACAAGCGUG
rnacentral:rRNA from 2 species